rnacentral:rRNA from 1 species
UUGACAACCUUCGGCGUGCUUAACACAUGCAAGUCGAACGGAAAGGCCCUUUCGGGGGUGCUCGAGUGGCGAACGGGUGAGUAACACGUGGGUGAUCUGCCCUGCACUUCGGGAUAAGCUUGGGAAACUGGGUCUAAUACCGGAUAGGACUACAGGACGCAUGUUUUGUGGUGGAAAGCUUUUGCGGUGUGGGAUGGGCCCGCGGCCUAUCAGCUUGUUGGUGGGGUGAUGGCCUACCAAGGCGACGACGGGUAGCCGGCCUGAGAGGGUGUCCGGCCACACUGGGACUGAGAUACGGCCCAGACUCCUACGGGAGGCAGCAGUGGGGAAUAUUGCACAAUGGGCGCAAGCCUGAUGCAGCGACGCCGCGUGGGGGAUGACGGCCUUCGGGUUGUAAACCUCUUUCACCAUCGACGAAGGCCUGCUUUUUGGUGGGUUGACGGUAGGUGGAGAAGAAGCACCGGCCAACUACGUGCCAGCAGCCGCGGUAAUACGUAGGUGCGAGCGUUGUCCGGAAUUACUGGGCGUAAAGAGCUCGUA